rnacentral:rRNA from 1 species
UAGGGAAUCUUCGGCAAUGGACGGAAGUCUGACCGAGCAACGUCGCGUGAGUGAAGAAGGUUUUCGGAUCGUAAAGCUCUGUUGUAAGAGAAGAACGAGUGUGAGAGUGGAAAGUUCACACUGUGACGGUAUCUUACCAGAAAGGGACGGCUAACUACGUGCCAGUAGCCGCGGUAAUACGUAGGUCCCGAGCGUUGUCCGGAUUUAUUGGGCGUAAAGCGAGCGCAGGCGGUUAGAUAAGUCUGAAGUUAAAGGCUGUGGCUUAACCAUAGUAGGCUUUGGAAACUGUUUAACUUGAGUGCAAGAGGGGAGAGUGGAAUUCCAUGUGUAGCGGUGAAAUGCGUAGAUAUAUGGAGGAACACCGGUGGCGAAAGCGGCUCUCUGGCUUGUAACUGACGCUGAGGCUCGAAAGCGUGGGGAGCAAACAGGAUUAGAUACCCUGGUAGUCCGCGCUGUAAACGAUGAGUGCUAGGUGUUAGACCCUUUCCGGGGUUUAGUGCCGUAGCUAACGCAUUAAGCACUCCGCCUGGGGAGUACGACCGCAAGGUUG